rnacentral:rRNA from 1 species
AAUCUUGCGCAAUGGGCGAAAGCCUGACGCAGCAACGCCGCGUGAAUGAUGAAGGUCNNNGGAGUNUAAAAUUCUUCCACCGGNGAANAUAAUGACGGUCCCCGUAGAAGAAGCCCCGGCUAACUUCGUGCCAGCAGCCGCGGUAAUACGAAGGGGGCUAGCGUUGCUCGGAAUUACUGGGCGUAAAGGGCGCGUAGGCGGACGUUUAAGUCAGGGGUGAAAUCCCAGAGCUCAACUCUGGAACUGCCUUUGUUACUGGGUGUCUUGAGUGUGGGAGAGGUAUGUGGAACUCCGAGUGUAGAGGUGAAAUUCGUAGAUAUUCGGAGGAACACCAGUGGCGAAGGCGACAUACUGGCUCAUUACUGACGCUGAGGCGCGAAAGCGUGGGGAGCAAACAG